rnacentral:rRNA from 1 species
UACGUAGGGUGCAAGCGUUAAUCGGAAUUACUGGGCGUAAAGCGUGCGUAGGCGGCUCAGUAAGUCGGGUGUGAAACCCCCAGGCUCAACCUGGGGACGCCACCCGAUACUGCUGUGGCUAGAGUCCAGUAGGGGAGUGUGGAAUUCCCGGUGUAGCGGUGAAAUGCGCAGAUAUCGGGAGGAACACCAGCGGCGAAGGCGGCACUCUGGGCUGGUACUGACGCUGAGGAGCGAAAGCGUGGGUAGCAAACAGG